rnacentral:lncRNA from 10 species
UCUCAAGUUCAACUCCACCACCCCCACUUGGUAUCCCACUGCUGGAGACCCAGCUCAGCCUGGAGUUGUUAGGACCGGCAAGCACCGGGGAACCGUCCGCCAUACUUCUCGGAAACUGGGAUCUGGCUAACUGGAGGAUGGAAGGCUGUCUUAGACUCCUUUACCUCACGGGACCCCCGUCCUGCCAUCUCACUGCAAGUCUCCUUCCCCCUGCUCUGGUAGCACAAAGACAUGGAACCUGAAGCCCAGAGAGAUUCAUUGCAAGCAGAGGUGUUACUGCAGCAAGCUGGAGCCUUGGAAGACAGCAGCCAUCAGGACCAGAAUAUGUGAGGAUGAUAUGGUUUCACUAUGUCCCCACUCAAAUCUCAUCUUCAAUUGUAGCUACCAUAAUUCCCCAAGUGUUGUGGGAGGGACUCAGUGGGGGGUAAUUUAAUCAUGGGGGCAGGUCUUUCCUGUGCUGUUUUCAUGAUAGUGAAUACGUCUCACAAGAUCUGAUGGUUUUGUAAAGGGGAGUUCCCCUGCACUUCUCCUUGCUGCCACCAUGUGAAGAAGGACCUGUUUGCUUCCCUUCCACCAUGAUAGUAAGCUUCCUGAGGCCUCCCCAGCCCUGGGGAACUGUGAGCCAAUUAAACCUCUUUCCUUUCUAAAUUACCCAGUCUUGGCUAUGUCCUUAUAGCAGCGUGAGAAUAGACCAAAACAGAGGAUUAAGAUCAAGAAGACAUGAUGUUGACUUCAGGGACACCAGGAACAGUGCAGAACCCUGUUACCCCAGAGCAGGUGGGACAGGGAAAUUGUUCUGAGACUAUACGUACAACUUAAUUUUUGCCUCCAACCCGGUAUGGCCUGGGAAGUAGAGGCUUUAUUUUCUGUUAUUUGUUGGGUUGAGCCUAAGACUUUAUUAAUAUUUCAAAUAUUUUUACAGUAUUGCUUAUAAUCAAGUUAUUUUUAAAAUAUUUUAAGUGUGAUUUUA